rnacentral:pre_miRNA from 1 species
GGGGGGAGCGCCGGAUCUUGGGCUCUGUCUCCCAGCCCCCUUGGCUCCAGGGCUUGCGCUGCUGGAAUCGUGCUUCCAGUGCCUUGCAGCCCCCU